UGCCCAGUAACUCAUAUCCCAACCUCCUCGUGGUACUGGUCUUGGUACGAGUAACCUUAGGGAAGAUCGGGUAACCAAUUCUGGUGGGAACUUUGGUCGUAUGCUGACAGGAAAGG
rnacentral:ribozyme from 1 species